rnacentral:lncRNA from 1 species
CGCAUCUGCCGCCGAGCCUUUGGUGGAAGUGUGGCCAAUUAGUCACACGUUUGGUGUUCUAAUUAGGCGAGGCUGGGACUUUGGAAAAUGUGCUGUUGAUUUAGCCGAAAGUGAUGAGGAGAGAAAGAGAAGUGAAAAGCCAGAGUCUCCACUGGUGAAAUAUGUUAGGCCUCAGAGACCAGCCCUUUUCCAGCAUUUGACCCUGAACAGUGAUAUACAGGAAGGAACAAAGUUGGAGAGCUAUCAUGGCAGACAAAGGCAAAUUGCCUUGGGAAGUGCGGGGUCAUGUCGGAAAGUCCGCAUGGACUCAGAUGGAGGAACACCUUUCCAGCAAGGAGUGUGGAUUUUAUUCUCUUCAAUGAGAGGAAGUGAAGUUUCCUGACAUCCUGGGCUGGCAGUACCAGCUAAGCCUUGGUGUUCUGUGGAGCAUAAACCAUUAAAAAACAAAACAAAACAAAACAAAAAACAACAUCAACCAUCCUGUGUCCAUGUGGAUCAAGACAAAAAUGAGAGCCCUCCUUGAUCUUUCCUGAACACAGACAAAACCAGGAAUAUUUCCAAACCGCAAAGAUGACCAAAAUUUCCAUUGUCUUGGCUACACAAGUGACUGCUGCUUCUUUACCAAUUACAGCUUUGCCUUCUCUAGUUUUCCUUCCUUUUAGAUAAAAUAUAUUAAGAUAUAGAAUUGCCUCCAUUUCCUGAAGUAAUCCAAUCAGAGAAAAGUCCUGCCUUCAUGAACUAUGCCCCAAAUCACCACACACAAGCCCAAACCCUGUAAUAGUUUCUAGCACCCUCUCAUAGAGAUGUCCACCAUCUCUGUGAUGAACAUUGUCCCUCAUUGCCACAAGUCAACCUGCUCAACUCUGGGUGUGUCUCUGGUGGUCUUAGAGUGGAGGCAGUGACACAAAGCAAGACCCUAGUUCCAAAACAUAUUUUAAAACAGUUUCAAGGGCUUCCCCGAUGGCCCAGUGGCUAAGAUUCUGUGCUUCCAAUGCAGGGAGACAGAUUUGAUCCCUGGUCAGGGAGCUAAUAUCUCACAUGCCACAUGGCCCCGAAAUAGAAUAAAUAAAGAAAAAAAAAAUUUAAAAAACAGUUUCACUGGAGGUAGGAAAUAAUUUUAAGGAGGUAUGUGGUAUGGAGAAAUUUCAAGUCUUAUGUUAGAAUUCUAAACAAUUUAUGGUACUGUAAGCUUUGGAGAUCCAACCAGUCCAUCCUAAAGGAAAUCAGUCCUGAAUAUUCA